UUCAGAAACCAAUAAUUGUUU
rnacentral:piRNA from 1 species